AACGAACGCUGGCGGCAGGCCUAACACAUGCAAGUCGAGCGAACCCUUCGGGGUUAGCGGCGGACGGGUUAGUAACGCGUGGGAAUAUACCCUUUGGUACGGAAUAGCCUCGGGAAACUGAGAGUAAUACCGUAUGUGCCCUUCGGGGAAAGAUUUAUCGCCAAAGGAUUAGCCCGCGUUGGAUUAGAUAGUUGGUGGGGUAAUGGCCUACCAAGUCUACGAUCCAUAGCUGGUUUGAGAGGAUGAUCAGCAACACUGGGACUGAGACACGGCCCAGACUCCUACGGGAGGCAGCAGUGGGGAAUCUUAGACAAUGGGCGCAAGCCUGAUCUAGCCAUGCCGCGUGGACGAUGAAGGCCUUAGGGUUGUAAAGUCCUUUCAGAUGGGAAGAUAAUGACGGUACCAUCAGAAGAAGCCCCGGCUAACUCCGUGCCAGCAGCCGCGGU
rnacentral:rRNA from 1 species